AUCAGCCUACGGGGGGCAGCAGUGGGGGAUAUUGCACAAUGGGGGAAACCCUGAUGCAGCGACGCCGCGUGAGCGAUGAAGUAUUUCGGUAUGUAAAGCUCUAUCAGCAGGGAAGAAAAUGACGGUACCUGACUAAGAAGCCCCGGCUAACUACGUGCCAGCAGCCGCGGAAAUACGUAGGGGGCAAGCGUUAUCCGGAUUUACUGGGUGUAAAGGGAGCGUAGAGGGCAGUGCAAGUCUGAAGUGAAAGUCACGGACUCAACCCUUGGACUG
rnacentral:rRNA from 1 species